GACGAUAUUUAGGUGACUUACAGCAACCAAUUGCAAUAAAACAAAAUGUUAAGAAAUGAUCUUUUUAUGAGGCAAUUGGAAAUGUGAACACUGAUCAACUAUAGGCUGAUUGGAAUUAUUAAUUUUUAAAGGUGUGAUAAGAUACUGCACUUGGCUGGGCACAGUGGCACAUGCCUGUAAUCCCAGCUACUUGGGAGGCUGAGGUGGGAGAAUCACUCAGGAGUUCGAGACCAGCCUGAGCAACAUGGUGAAAUCCCCAUCUUUACAAAAACAAAAAAACACACAAAAAAGAUAUUGCAGUUGUGUUGUAAGCGUCCUUAUCUUUCAGAGCUACAUAGUGGACUAUUUAUGGAAUAUUUAGGAUAAAUGAUAUAGGCAUUUGGGAUUUGAUGCAAAAUGACCCAGAGGCAGGGGUUGGGGGAGAGGUAGAGUUGAGACAAGAGGUAGAGGGGAGAGGUAGAGGUAGCCACGAGCUGAUAAUUACAGACAAGAGAUGCAGAGUAUGUGGGGGCUCAUUAUCCAGCAUAGUCUAGCUUUGUGUAUCUUUGAACUUUUCAAGAAUAAAAAAGCUUAAAAAGUAUACAUGGCCUGGUCCUACUAGAGACUCACCCAAUGCCAGCCUCCAGCCAGGGAGGGCCAAGUUUGCAUUUUCACACGCAUCUCACACUCCUCUGCACUCUCAACUUGGAGAGCUCCAAACAGGGAGACCCCAAGCCUUGCUGGCUUCUGCCAACCCCCUGAGCAGAAGCAUGGGUCCCCCUGAUCACCACCCCACCACCCUCAUCCUGACCUCACUGUACACAGCAAACCCCAGUGUAAUUAACAAGACUGAGAACACCUGUAAUCCCAGCACUUUGGGAGGCUGAGGCCGGCAGAUCACCUGAGUUCAGGAGUUCGAGACCAGCCUGGCAAACCAUGGCCAACAUGGCGAAGCCCAGUCUCUACUAAAAACACAGAAAUUAGCCAGGUGCAGUGGUGCGCAUCUGUAACCCCUACUACUUGGGAGAAUCGGAUUGAACCUGGGAGGCGGAGGUUGCAGUGAGCCCAGAUCGUGCCACUGCACUCCAGCCUGGGUGACAGAGUGAUUCUCCAUCUCAAAAAAAAAAAAA
rnacentral:sRNA from 1 species